rnacentral:snoRNA from 1 species
CCCCUCUCAGGAUCGCACCUGGAGAGUUUCCACUACUCUACCAGUCUCGGCUAUGAGAGGGAGAGUCAAGCAGAGGCCUACCCAUUUCAUUCCUAACUUGGGCAGUGACUAGCGAGUGGAAGGCAAUCUGCUCCAAGU